rnacentral:lncRNA from 12 species
CCCCCGCACGGCUCAGCGCACCCGGAGCUGCAGGUGCUGCCCAGGUCUGUCCUCGCUCAAGGAGAAGAGGUCCUUGACUAAAAGGAGGGCUUGGCACAAAAAGGCUGUGCUGUCAGUAACAGUUUCCCCAAAACUUUUCUUCCCAGUAAAACUUUUCCUGGGUAGGGAUCCUGGCUCUUUUCUUCCCUGUCCCACCAAAGCCAUCUGGGUCGCACGCCCCAGUUACAGCCCGCAUCCUCCAACACGGGUUUGUUUUGUUUUCUCUGGUUUCAUGGAUAUUAUGUUCCAAAUUGUUUUCUGUUUGGGUUUUUGGGUUGUUUUUCCCCAGGAAGUUCUCAUCAGGCUCCACGGCACUUUCCAUUCCCACAUGUCCACAGGCAGCAGAGCUGUGUGUGGGUCCUUGGCACUGUCCCCUCACAGGAUAUCAACUGAGAACCCCCCAAAUGCAAUGGGAUCUCUGUGCCCACGGGGGUCACGGGCCAGCAGCCCCUGAGCCACACUGGGGCCCGGCUCUUGGCAUGUGGGGAUGGGCGCAGAGCCCCCCAUUGAGAGCUGCCCCUGGGAGGAGGGAGAAGGGGGCAGGGCUGGGAGCCACCCCACCGCCCCCAGCUCAGCCAGGCCAGGCUGCUGUUGCUGGCCUGGGGGAUCCAGGCUGGGCUUGUGGGGCUGCAGGGGUUCCCACAGGCUCACCGAAGUCUGGGGGUGCAGAGGGGACCCGGUGCCACCAUCCCACCCACCUACAGGCUUGGCUGGCCAUGGAAACAGAGCCGGGCCUUCGGAGCUGCUGCUCAUCUCCCAGCUCAGAAGAGCCCAGUCCUGGAGGGAUGAGCUGGGAGGGAGGGCUGGGUCCCUGCCACCCCCCCGCCUCGGUGCCCUCCAGAAUCCUUCCACCCAACACGGCACCUUCAUCCUGCCCGCUGCCCCGAGACCCUCCGGGCGCGGAGCGUGGGCGGGCGGGGGCUCCAGCCCCGCCACGGGCACAAUAAUCGGCUAAUUGAGCGGUGGCUGGAAAAGUCCCCCCGGACAAUGCGGGGAUUAAGGACUGGAGCACGGAGUCAAACGGAAACGAUGGGGGAUGCGUGCUGGGGGCGGCGGGGGGAGCCCCAAGGAGCAUCCUCCCAUCCCGGGACUGGCACGGGUGCAGCAUCCGUGCUCCAAAACCCCCGGGGGGGGGGGGGGGGGGGGGGGGGGGGGGGGGGGGGGGGGGGGGGGGGGGGGGGGGGGGGGGGGCCCCCCGCGCCAGGGCUGCGGGGGCUCGGAGCCCGCGAGGCUGCCGGCAGAGAGAGAUACAGAUCCCUUCUUCUCCUCUUUUUUCAUCUCAAAAAGACGAGCCAAAAGUGAAAAAAAACAAGAUUGUUUUUUCAAGCGUGCUGGAAUCCACUUGGAUAAAUAACAGCUCCAGAAACUGGGCUGCUGAAACAAUAAACUUCCUCUGGACCCAACCAAAAAAGGACGCGGGGAGACGGUGGCUCCCCAGCCCGGGGGUUCCUGGGGGGCCGCGCUGGGGGCGGGACCCGGCCCGGCUCCGCUCUCCGAGUGCAUUAAUUCAAAGCAUAUGCCGGGAGCAGAUACGGCACAGGCUGCGCCCCGAGCACGGCUCGCUGCUCUGCACAGGGAUUUCGGGAAGAGAAAAGAGGGGCCCCGGGGCUGCUGAGAGGUGCUGAAGGCUCUGGCAGUGAGAAAGGCUCUGGGGGCGGCAGUGUCACAUGGGGUACCCCAGAGGGACCCCAUAGAACCCAGGGGGACUCUGCGGCAUCCCAGAGGAGAACCCACAUUGCACCAGGGACCCCACGGCUCCCAGAAUGAACUCUGCAUUCCAGAGGGGACCCCACAGCCUCCCAGAGGGACCCCACAUCUCCCAACCCGGUGGGGCUGGAGGAGCCCAGCCCCGGGGGAU